rnacentral:rRNA from 1 species
GGUUCGAUUCUGGCUCAGGAUGAACGCUGGCGGCGUGCUUAACACAUGCAAGUCGAACGGGGAUCCCCAGGAGCUUGCUCCUGGGUGAGAGUGGCGAACGGGUGAGUAAUGCGUGACCGACCUGCCCCAUACACCGGAAUAGCUCCUGGAAACGGGUGGUAAUGCCGGAUGCUCCAGUUGACCGCAUGGUCCUCUGGGAAAGCUUUUGCGGUAUGGGAUGGGGUCGCGUCCUAUCAGCUUGAUGGCGGGGUAACGGCCCACCAUGGCUUCGACGGGUAGCCGGCCUGAGAGGGCGACCGGCCACAUUGGGACUGAGAUACGGCCCAGACUCCUACGGGAGGCAGCAGUGGGGAAUAUUGCACAAUGGGCGCAAGCCUGAUGCAGCGACGCCGCGUGCGGGAUGACGGCCUCGGUUGUAACCGUACUUCGUCGUCGGGUAGGCGAAGACCGUCGGGUCGGUAGGUGUACGUUACGU